rnacentral:misc_RNA from 1 species
AGCGCUGCAAGUCAGCCCUCCGACGCCAUUCUGUUAGAAUGCGCGAAGGUGCGUAUGCCUGCAUGUACGUCUGCGCGUAUAUACAUAUAUAUAUGCACAUCCGUGUGUGUGUGUGUGCAGCCGCCGAAAUCUUCUAUUCGGAGAUGCUGUCCCUGACUCUGAGUGUGCGCACGUUUUCGGAAUGCGCGCAUGAGUGGCUUUGCCAUGUGGAUACAAAAAGGCAGCCUCACGCGCUGUUUUUUUUUUUUUGGAAUGAACCAACGGAACAACAGCAGCAAGUAUAUAGAUGUACAUCCCAUAGGGCGAAGGAAUGCGCCAGUGAGGUGCGGAAGGAACCUACGGGGUGACGACAUCGUGUGAGCCUCUUUGGCGUGUUGACGCGUUUUCCGCGCCUGGGCCCGAUGUCGGAGGUGAACACAGCUGCAGUCUUUCAUGAUCCAGUUUCUCAUCGGGGCCCUGCCUCACUCGCGCCUCCCUUUAACGCGCCCAACUCUUUCUAUUCGUGUUGCCCCUCCCCCUCCCGUACUCUUGUUCACCUCCCGCUCUACCUGCACAAG